CUGGCGAGUGGCUGCAUCUCUGGCCGCUGCUGCAGUCGCGGGCGCAGAAGAGGGUCCGGUCCCAGGAACCCGGAUCAAAGCUUCCACGGUGCGAGGGGACCGGGCUUCUGGGGGUCCUGGAAAUCGCAACGGGAGCUGGGCGCGGGAGGGGCCCAGGCUUGGCCCCUCCUGGAAGCGCGGGCUCUGGUCUCCGAGGGGAGGCCCCGACCGUCCAGCGGAGCCGCCAGGCCCCUGACAUUUAUGGGAUCACAGACUAAGCGAGUCCUGCUCACCCCGCUCAUGCAUCCAGCUCGCCCUUUCCGGGUCUCCAACCAUGACAGGAGCAGCCGGCGUGGGGUGAUGGCAAGCAGCCUGCAGGAGCUCAUCAGCAAGACUCUGGAUGCCCUCGUCAUCACCACCGGACUGGUCACUCUGGUGCUGGAGGAAGAUGGCACCAUGGUGGACACAGAAGAGUUCUUUCAGACCUUGGGAGACAACACACAUUUCAUGAUCUUGGAAAAAGGACAGAAGUGGAUGCCGGAGUCUGCUGCGGUUCCUGUCCUACUCCGCCCAGGUGACGGGACAGUUUCUCAUCUAUCUGGGCACGUACAUGCUCCGGGUGUUGGAUGACAAGGAAGAGCGGCCAUCCCUCCGGUCACAAGCCAAGGGCCGGUUCACGUGUGGAUAGGGAUGCAGGCUGUCACUGGCUCUUGAGCCAAACACUGUGUUUCGUUUGGCUCAAUGACGAAUGUUGAAGAUGCUUUUAUGUUCUGAGCCACAUACACUUGUAGGCCGCUGGUCACGCUGCUCAGGAGCGGUGCCCAGAAAAGGAAAGGGCCUGGUGGUACAUGAAGUGGGGGCUGUGGGCAGGGUGCCGUGGGGGGGAGGCAUAGAGGGCC
rnacentral:sRNA from 1 species